rnacentral:rRNA from 1 species
AUUGAACGCUGGCGGCAGGCCUAACACAUGCAAGUCGAACGAGUGGCGGACGGGUGAGUAAUGUGUGGGAAACUGCCAGGGGGAGGGGGAUAACUACUGGAAACGGUAGCACAUACCACAUACCAUGAGAUGUGCCCAGAUGGGAUUAGCUUGUUGGUGGGGUAACGGCUCACCAAGGAGACGAUCCCUAGCUGGUCUGAGAGGAUGACCAGCCACACUGGAACUGAGACACGGGCCAGACUCCUACGGGAGGCAGCAGUGGGGAAUAUGGCACAAGUGGCGCAAGCCUGAUGCAGCCAUGCCGCGUGUAGGAAGAAGGCCUUCGGGUUGUAAAGUACUUUCAGCGGUGAGGCGUUACCCGCAGAAGAAGCACCGGCUAACUCCGUGCCAGCAGCCGCGGUAAUAC